rnacentral:tRNA from 3 species
GGGCGUUUAGCUCAGUUGGGAGAGCACCUGCCUUACAAGCAGGGGGUCGCAGGUUCAAGCCCUGCAACGCCCACCA